CCAGCUCCGGCUGGUUAGCGUUGUGUAGAAGGUACACACAGUGCUGUGCAAGUUCAAACAACAUAAUUAAUUAGGCUAAUAUUAAUAUUAUCAAUGCCACAUAAAUUCAAUUCUCUCCGCCCUAAUCACAACUGGAUAGCUUGUAAAAAUUAUUUUGUUAGGCCCUGAUGCAAACAGAGGGUCUUUUCCAAACAUUUGAAAACUAUUUGUUUUUGUGGUGAUUAAUGUGUGUGGCGCAGGAAGGGGUUGGGGGAGCGGAGCCGGGCCAGCGAUGAUAACUGGUGUGGAGACGGAGGCAGAGGCGAGGCCUGGCCCCAGGGACUCCCAGCACAGGCGCAUGGAGGAGGGGGAGGGAUGUGUUUUUUGGGGCGGCUGUUUGAGCAGGUGGAGGGGAUUAGUAAUACUGUCAACACUGGAGAGCUGGAUAAGACUGUCCUCUCAUACUCGUGGGUUUCAGCAUCUCUCGCAUACACAUUCAGACACAUAAAGACAGAAACACAUACAAACGCUGGAGUCACAUACAGGAGAAGGGAACUUAUCUGACCAGGGGAAGUUGGUCACAUCCUCCUCUAGCUCAACUUUUUGCACAGGCAUUUCCCAACAUCUGAAUAUCCCUCCAUUAGCACAUUCAGUGUAUUUCCACAGAUAUUUGGUCACAUUUUUAAUAUGAUAUUUAUUUCCCAUGAAUCACCUUUUAGAAGACCUCUGUGUCUGCAUCUCUAGAAUGAAACUCCAGGGAGAUGCCCAUUCUUCUUGUCUCAGAUUUUUCUGUUAAAUUUUUGACAUUUCUGACACAUUUUCACGUGUCAAUUUAGAGCUCUUGUAAUCUAUUCUUCGAUCCAUGUCCUAAGUCUUAUAUAAACAUGCGCCUCCAUGCUCAAUCUCAGUCAUAUUUCAAAUUUCUGUCUCUGACCACAGACACCUCCAUUUGUUGCAUCUCUUUGUCCCCUCUGCCAGAUCAAGGACCACACUUUCCUGUAUUUCCACUCUAUCUACACACCCAGUUAGUCCCCCCAACAUCCCUAUAAAUCCUUGCUCUCGGCACAUUGCAGCCACCCCAACAACUAGGCCGGCCCUCCCUCUGCCUCCUGGAGCACUGACAAUAAAGCAUUACAGCAGUCAAUCCAUGUCAACAACAGCUUUGCUUAAUUCCUGCUAAACACGUUUAAACUAAAUCUUCACCUAAUGAUGCAUAAUGAUUUGCUCUUUAGUGCGGCUAGCGGCUCGUAUCAAUUUCGUUGGUUUAAUUUAGCAGCAAUCAGAGGGAUGACUCAGGUGGUCUGACUGUAGUCAACACACAGGGACGGUAUUAAGGAUCCCCCUGGUUUAAAUUAGUCAGGUAAUUGUGAAGAGACACACUGCGGAGCAUGCUGAACAUGUCUGGGUUUUAUUUGCAGGUAAGUGUAAUUUCAGUCUAUAUUUUCAUCCUGAAGAAAGCUCUGUGUUUAUAGAACAUUACAGGGAUGUGAAAUGUGUGAAAUAUUUAACAAAAAAAAGAAAAAACAGGAAAACUGUACAUCAGCAUCUACACUGAGGAAAUGCCACUGUGCAGUUUAGUUGGAUUGAAGUAUAAACCUUGAAAGCACUUUGCUGUCCUUAUUAAAAUCUAUUCUUUCAGAUGUCUCUGUGAAAAGACCCUCAUACUGCAGGCACUCAUCCAGGCCCUCUGAUGUGCUGCAGAUGUUGCCCUGGCCUUGACCUCCUGCCCAUUCAGUGCCGGGGCCAGAAUGGCACAGGUGCCUCCCCACCUUCAGUCUUGGGCAGACGGGAGCUGCACUGUGCAGGAUAUAAACGCUGCCAACUCUGCACCUUUGCUCACUUUUCUCAUCAUCAUCAGCAACAUGUAGCCUUGUUGCUUAAAGAAACCCUCCCUGGAUUCCUCUUGAUGAUGCUAAGCUAGCGGGCUUCUCCUUCCCCCCCUCCUCCCCCUUCCUCUUGCUCCUCUUCUCCUAUAAAAGCACUAUUAAUUCUCUGCCAUAGUGGAGUGUUUUCCAGUGCUAUUUCCUGGCUUGGUGCCUGUGCCUCGCGCUCUCUUGGCUGGGUUUGUCUGGUUGACUGCUCCACAGGAACAGACUGGCACUCUAGCUGAGGGCUCCGGGGUCUGCACACACAAUCCACUAAACAUGUCUCUGUGUGAGGAGCUGUACUGCGUCCUAAAUUUAAAGUAAGAAUUAUUACUUAUCACAAAUUGAGUGAAUAUUUCAGAUCAUUUUUCUAAGUUUUACCUUUUUUUUUUAAAUAAUUGGAGUCUAUGACUGUCAUUAUUGAUAUAACAGUGGCUGAAGUUGCAGGUCUACACUAGUAUUAUCCCUUCUUUUAAACUGUGAAAUGUGUCCUAUUUGUGGAGGACUUUAUCCGCAUGUGCAUACAACUGGCUGUAAAAUUGGAAGAUGUACAAAUAAACAUAAAAAAGUGCAUACGGUGUACACUACAUAUUAAAAUCCCUCAGUGACAGUAAGAAGAACAAAUUGAUUGUGAUGGUAAAGGGACUUCAGUGCUCAACACAUUCACUCCCAGUGCAAACAAACAUCUGUUACGUUUGUAAGGCCUUUGGCCCUGCUAACCCACUGAUGUUGAACCAAGCCUGCACACAUGCCAGAGACACAAAUGAGGUCUCUCUCUCCUCCACUGAAGAUGAAACACUGCAUCACCAAAGCAUGUGCGUUUGUCUAAUCAAGCUUUUAGCCCGUGGGUACACUGCAUGUAAAUGAAUAGGCCUGUGUGUGCCAGCCUCUAUUUCUGCUCAUUCUGGCUCCUGUUUGAUGAUGAAAUGGUGCAGGAGACAUGAGACAGAAGGGGGCACUAGUGCUCCAGUGUUGCUCUCCUCCCCUGUGGAGCCCUCUUCUUCCUCAGAGCUCCUCACAAUGGGGAUCUGCCUGAGGGGGGAAAUGUUGCUUUUUUAGGUCUGUGAGCCCAUAUCCC
rnacentral:lncRNA from 1 species